rnacentral:rRNA from 1 species
GACGAACGCUGGCGGCGUGCCUAAUACAUGCAAGUAGAACGCUGAAGGAGGAGCUUGCUUCUCCGGAUGAGUUGCGAACGGGUGAGUAACGCGUAGGUAACCUGCCUGGUAGCGGGGGAUAACUAUUGGAAACGAUAGCUAAUACCGCAUAAGAGUAGAUGUUGCAUGACAUUUGCUUAAAAGGUGCAAUUGCAUCACUACCAGAUGGACCUGCGUUGUAUUAGCUAGUUGGUGGGGUAACGGCUCACCAAGGCGACGAUACAUAGCCGACCUGAGAGGGUGAUCGGCCACACUGGGACUGAGACACGGCCCAGACUCCUACGGGAGGCAGCAGUAGGGAAUCUUCGGCAAUGGACGGAAGUCUGACCGAGCAACGCCGCGUGAGUGAAGAAGGUUUUCGGAUCGUAAAGCUCUGUUGUAAGAGAAGAACGAGCGUGAGAGUGGAAAGUUCACACUGUGACGUAUCUACCA